AAGAGAGAGAGAGAGAGAGAGAGAGAGAGAGAGAGAGAGAGAGAGAGAGAAUUGAAGAGAGAGAGAGAAUUGAAGGGAGUGGGGAGUGGGGUCUAAAGACAGGCUGCUUUGAUCGGAGCUGCCUUCAACUGUCUCCUGGAUCAGCUUUCCCAAACGCUUGCACGGCAAGCACCUGGAGCAGCCGAGGAGACCUUUGCAGGAACUAGCAUCCAGCUAUGCAGCUACUCCCUCCUCAGCCCAAAGACCAAGCUCGGGUCCCCUGCAGAUUGCUGUAGAAAAAAGCUCAGUUAUAUCAGAACCAGGACUUUCUUCAGCCCUUCCAUUUUUCUGAUCCUGUCUGAGGUAUCCACUCUGACCAAAGCCUGCUCUGAGAGGAGAGUACAUGGGGGAACACUUCAAACUAUGGUUACAUAGGAAUACUAUUGCAGCCCGGAUACAGCAAGGAGGGCCUAGGCCCUCCCCCAAACGAUAUGACAGACUUUGAAGGUCCCUGGUGGAGGGCCUCACUAUCCCUGGGGAGGAG
rnacentral:lncRNA from 1 species